UCGAAACUUGUUUUUGACAGAGCGGGACAUCCAAUUUAAAAUAAAAACUUCGAGUUCGUCAGCGAAAAACUUAAACCCUCUUAAUCGCCACCAUCAAAUUGAAUUGCCUCGUGCUUACGUCUAUGACAUUCUUUAGUUAGAGAGGUUGUUUGAAGUCAGUUUGUUUCGAAACAGAUCUUCUAGUCAAAUCUUUGAUUUGGAAUUGCUGACUACUUUCUCUCUAUUAGUGUAAAAUUUUCUGAAGCAAAAUAUGGUGUUCAAAGAUUAUGCACUAGAAAUCACAAGAAAGAAGCCACCUGAUGCGAUGACUCGAUUACCAGGUGUUACUUAAGAAAACUCCAUGAUUCUAACUGUAGUUCGGAAUUUAGUUUGUAUUGGUCUCAAGAAGAUAAAUACCCGGACAAUCUCUGUAGACUACAGAAGAAAGGACUGGUGCAGUCUUCUUGAGAAAGCCAGGGUCCAACCAGGACUGUCGAGAUACUGAUGAUAGUUUGUAUUUCUAAAGGGUGGUCUAAAUCAGAGACCUUUCCAACCUAGAAAAUAAUUUGGAUGCCUCGAAUGCCGACAGUGCUAUGGUAUUCUGAUGGGAAAAAGUAAAUAUUGGUUGUUGAAUCAGCUAUUUUUGAAACAUGUGAUCCAACAGCAGGUCUUUUUUUAAUUGUGUAUCCGUGGAAUAUACAGGGUAUUUAUAAAUUCUCGGACCCAUUUUGAUGUUUAAUAACUCAUAAAAUAAUGAAGACAUAAACAAACUUAUGGCAUUUAUUGAUGGAAUAUAUCAUAUUUGUGGGAUUUAGUGCAGCAAAGUAAAUAACGAUGAUAAUUUACUCCUAUGCUGCACUAACUCCCACAUAUAUUUUACUUUUCAGGUUUGAAUAUCUUUACUUUUGUAAAUAUCGUCUGCAACAGAUAUAGUAGGAAGAAUAGAAGAUGAUGCUGAUUUUCUGAAGCGCAUAAUGUUCUCCGACAGAGCAUCCUUUCAUGUUUCUGGCAUUGUUAAUCACUAUAAUGUGCGCAUAUGGGGAUCUGAAAACUCCCAUGAAUACCGUGAGACACAAAGGGAUUCCCCAAAGGUUAAUGCAUGGUGUGGACUAAUGCACGACCGAGUCAUUGGGCCUUUCUUUUUUACAGAAAAGACGGUCUCAUCAGUCGUAUACUUAGACAUGUUGGAAAACUUCGUAUUUCCACAAUUAGAAUAGCUUCAGCCACAUGUCUUUUUACAACAAGAUGGUGCACCAUCCCAUUGGGCUAUCAUCGUUCGUAGUUCUUUGAAUGACCAUUUUCCAGGAAGAUGGAUUGGAAGAGGAGGUCCAAUUCCUUGACCACCCA